GAUUAGAUACCCUGGUAGUCCACGCCCUAAACGAUGUCUACUAGUUGUCGGGUCUUAAUUGACUUAGUAACGCAGCUAACGCGUGAAGUAGACCGCCUGGGGAGUACGGUCGCAAGAUUAAAACUCAAAGGAAUUGACGGGGACCCGCACAAGCGGUGGAUGAUGUGGAUUAAUUCGAUGCAACGCGAAAAACCUUACCUACCCUUGACAUGUUCAGAAUCCUGAAGAAAGGUGGGAGUGUUCGAAAGAAAACCGUUACACAGGUGCUGCAUGGCUGUCGUCAGCUCGUGUCGUGAGAUGUUGGGUUAAGUCCCGCAACGAGCGCAACCCUUGUCAUUAGUUGCUACGAAAGGGCACUCUAAGGAGACUGCCGGUGACAAACCGGAGGAAGGUGGGGAUGACGUCAAGUCCUCAUGGCCCUUAUGGGUAGGGCUUCACACGUCAUACAAUGGUACAUACAGAGGGCCGCCAACCCGUGAGGGGGAGCUAAUCCCAGAAAGUGUAUCGUAGUCCGGAUCGUAGUCUGCAACUCGACUACGUGAAGUUGGAAUCGCUAGUAAUCGCGGAUCAGCAUGUCGCGGUGAAUACGUUCCCGGGUCUUGUACACACCGCCCGUCACACCAUGGGAGCGGGUUUUACCAGAAGUGAGGC
rnacentral:rRNA from 1 species